AGUCUGUGUUGUAAAGUGAAAUGGUGUUGGAACAGUCUGUUGCUAUUUUCUAAGUCAUUAAAAGUUUGCUGUAGUAUCUCUCGAGGUUAAUGUGUUGAGUUCCCUAGGCUUGCUGCUAAGUGCAGAGCUUCAGGGUCUAUUGAAACCUUGCCCUGCUAGACUGGUCUUUGGAAGAGAUACUGAGAAAGCUUCAGAUACAUUACAGUCUUCUCAGGAAUGUUAUUCACUCUGAUCUCUGUCAAAUCUUCCAUCAUAAAUACAGGAUGUUUUCAGCAUUUCUAUUUUAUAUAAACUUACUCUGCAGAUCUGAGCUUUAUCUAGUGUCAGUGCUCCUCUGGAAUAUGGCCAGAUGAGAGAGAUGGCUCAGAGCAGCUUUGAGAGAGCUAAAUAGUAUUUGUCUGAUAAAUUAUAGUUUAAUCCGUUGAUUUAUUCUUGUUUGUAUUAAAGGAUUGUAUUAGUCAUUUGGCUGUGGCUCUGCUGACUCUGCGAAAAUGAGUUUAUCUGAGAGUGGUACUGCAAGGUAAUGAAUCUAGAAAGAAAGGGAAGGACUAGGAUGAUACAGCCUUGAUUUGUGCCUGCCCAGAUCCCAUUGAGAUGAGAGAAGUUAUUGAGAUACAAAGCAGAUGUAAAUGAGUUCUGAAUCCUGACCUGUGUGUUUGUGUUGUAAUAAGGAAAAUGACUCUCUGCUUAUUGUAGAGGGUUUAGUAAAGACACUUGGGGCUGCAAAAUGUUUAAUGAAGCUACUCAGUAUCUGUGUCGAGGGUACCACUGGAGUAAUAAAUUAAUUUCCUUCCUUUGUUCCCACUGUAGGGAAGUUCAGUUAAUUUCCUCUAAGAUGGUCCAUGAAAGACUAAAGUAACUGAGAACGAGUGAUUUGGAAUAUGUGUUGGCACUGUGUUAUAGCUAUUGAGGGGAUACAGCUGCUGGUUGGAGACUGAGAAAUUCCAUGUUUCACUAUAGAUUUUGCUAUAGACUGACCUCAGACAAAUACAGACUUGACUUGAUCUUAUUUGACUGCCCGAACAGUCAAAGAAUUGGUCUCACUUUCCUUCAGCCCAAGUUUGAGCGGGACCCCUCCGUAUGUGCAUUCAUCCUGGGUAUAGCAAGGAAAUCCCAUGAACUUGCAGGCAUUGCAAGACAUUGUUGCAAAGGCCAAAUGCCUUUGUGCUAUUUCCCAAAUUGCACACAAAUUUCUCCAUGUUUCUAGUGGAUCGGUGAUUGCCUGGGAGAGGUCAGAGGAAGCACAGAUAAUGCUGAUGAGUCAGGAAGGAGGUAUCAGAGCACCUACUCCAACAUCUUCCCUUCCUCUCUCUGCCCUCUCCUUGAAUGCUGAGAUCAUCAGAUCACCAAUGAAUGGGUCCAUCCCCUAUGUCUGCAAAUUUGAUGUGUAUAGGCACAAUUCUUAAUUGUGUCUUAUCCCACAUGCAGAAUCAAGAACCAUAUGCAGAUAACCUCAGUCUUUGUCACUGGUAUGACACUGUAAUUCUGCGAAUGCUAAUGAGGGCAAAUAAAAAGUUUACCGUUUCUACUGUGCUAUACACAGCCUCAGCAAGAUGAUGGAUGAUGAUAGAGGUACAGCCACGUUCCUGAGUAGAAGCAGUUACUACCAUCCACUAGAACAAUAACAGAAAUUGAUGAUGUCUUAAUCAUUCCCUUUGGUUGAUUUGAAGGGCAGCGACACCCUGUUUUCUCACUGCUCUUUGCAUUAGAUAUACCACUGGAAAAAGCAGCAUUAGAGCACUCAGCAGCUGUGUUGCCAGUCACCACACCUUACAGUAGCAAUGGAGCCAGAUGCUUGGCUAGCAUAAAUCUUUCUAGGUCCUUUGGCAUAUGCCCUCAUUGGCUUCAUUCACCAGCUUAUGGACUGUUGUUGAUGAAGUUCUUCGAGAGGUUUGCAGCAUCAUUUCUUUGUACAGAAAUAAGCAGCCUAGAAAUAAAAUAAAAAAAUUAAAUCAGGUUUUAAAGCUAUGAGACUUCUUAUUACAGGACCUUCUUCAGGCCUAGAUACCUUUCAGGCUGUUUCUGGUGCUCCCUCUUUACUGCAGGGUAUCCUUCUGAUCCAAGCUUAAAGCUGGGUGUGUCUUCCCAGGACAGGGGGCUAUUGGGAGCUCACAGAGCAGGGACAGCCAUUUCUGGCAGUGUAAAGGGCAUUUCUACAUAGCUUAGCU